rnacentral:rRNA from 1 species
AUUGAACGCUGGCGGCAGGCUUAACACAUGCAAGUCGAGCGGAGAUGAGGUGCUUGCACCUUAUCUUAGCGGCGGACGGGUGAGUAAUGCUUAGGAAUCUGCCUAUUAGUGGGGGACAACAUUCCGAAAGGAAUGCUAAUACCGCAUACGUCCUACGGGAGAAAGCAGGGGAUCUUCGGACCUUGCGCUAAUAGAUGAGCCUAAGUCGGAUUAGCUAGUUGGUGGGUAAAGGCCUACCAAGGCGACGAUCUGUAGCGGGUCUGAGAGGAUGAUCCGCCACACUGGGACUGAGACACGGCCCCGACUCCUACGGGAGGCAGCAGUGGGGAAUAUUGGACAAUGGGGGGAACCCUGAUCCAGCCAUGCCGCGUGUGUGAAGAAGGCCUUAUGGUUGUAAAGCACUUUAAGCGAGGAGGAGGCUACUGAGACUAAUACUCUUGGAUAGUGGACGUUACUCGCAGAAUAAGCACCGGCUAACUCUGUGCCAGCCGCCGCAGUAAUAC